UGCGUAGGCGGAAGAUUAAGUCAGUAGUGAAAUCCUGCAGCUCAACUGUAGAACUGUUAUUGAUACUGAUCUUCUUGAAUACAGUUGAGGUAGGCGGAAUAUGUAAUGUAGCGGUGAAAUGCUUAGAUAUUACAUAGAACACCGAUUGCGAAGGCAGCUUACUAAGCUAUGAUUGACGCUGAGGUACGAAAGCGUGGGGAGCGAACAGAAUUAGAUACCCUGGUAGUCC
rnacentral:rRNA from 1 species